GCUUGCUUUGGCAACACAUAUACAAAAUUGGAAUGAUACAGAGGAGAUUAGCAUAGGCCCUGUGCAAGGAUGACAUAAAUCAAUAUAUGAUUAAAAUGCAAUGU